rnacentral:rRNA from 1 species
UACGGGGGGAGCAAGCGUUGUUCGGAUUUACUGGGCGUAAAGAGCGUGUAGGCGGCCAUACAGGUCCGUUGUGAAAACUGGAGGCUUAACCUCCAGACGUCGAUGGAAACCGUAUGGCUAGAGUCCGGAAGAGGAGAGUGGAAUUCCUGGUGUAGCGGUGAAAUGCGCAGAUAUCAGGAAGAACACCGGUGGCGAAGGCGGCUUCCUGGACAAUUACUGACGCUGAGACGCGAAAGCGUGGGGAGCAAACAGG